UAAGGAAUAUCGGUCAAUGGACGCAAGUCUGAACCAGCCAUGCCGCGUGAAGGAUGAAGGUCCUCUGGAUUGUAAACUUCUUUUAUCUGGGACGAAAACGGGAUUUUUAUCUCAAUUGACGGUACCAGAGGAAUAAGCACCGGCUAACUCCGUGCCAGCAGCCGCGGUAAUACGGAGGGUGCGAGCGUUAUCCGGAUCUACUGGGUUUAAAGGGUGCGUAGGUGGGCUUAUAAGUCAGUGGUGAAAUCUCCGAGCUUAACUUGGAAACUGCCGUUGAUACUAUAGGUCUUGAAUUAUCUGGAGGUAAGCGGAAUAUGUCAUGUAGCGGUGAAAUGCUUAGAUAUGACAUAGAACACCAAUUGCGAAGGCAGCUUACUAUAUAUAAAUUGACGCUGAGGCACGAAAGCGUGGGGAUCAAACA
rnacentral:rRNA from 1 species